UACGUAGGGCGCAAGCGUUGUCCGGAAUUAUUGGGCGUAAAGAGCUCGUAGGCGGCUUGUCACGUCGGAUGUGAAAGCCCGGGGCUUAACUCCGGGUCUGCAUUCGAUACGGGCUGGCUAGAGUGUGGUAGGGGAGAUCGGGAUUCCUGGUGUAGCGGUGAAAUGCGCAGAUAUCAGGAGGAACACCGGUGGCGAAGGCGGAUCUCUGGGCCAUUACUGACGCUGAGGAGCGAAAGCGUGGGGAGCGAACAGG
rnacentral:rRNA from 1 species